rnacentral:rRNA from 1 species
AGUGAACGCUGGCGGUAGGCCUAACACAUGCAAGUCGAACGGCAGCACAGUAAGCGCUUGCUCUUACGGGUGGCGAGUGGCGGACGGGUGAGGCAUACAUCAGAAUCUACUUUUUCGUGGGGGAUAACGUAGGGAAACUUACGCUAAUACCGCAUAUGACCUACGGGUGAAAGCAGUGGUUCUUCGCACCUUGCGCGAUUCAAUGAGCCGAUGUCGGAUUAGCUAGUUGGCGGGGUAAAGGCCCACCAAGGCGACGAUCCGUAGCUGGUCUGAGAGGAUGAUCAGCCACACUGGAACUGAGACACGGUCCAGACUCCUACGGGAGGCAGCAGUGGGGAAUAUUGGACAAUGGGCGAAAGCCUGAUCCAGCCAUACCGCGUGGGUGAAGAAGGUCUUCGGGUUGUAAAGCCCUUUUGUUAGGAAAGAAAAGCAGCAGAUUAAUACCCCGCUGUUCUGACGGUACCCAAAGAAAAAGCACCGGCUAACUUCGUG